rnacentral:tRNA from 1 species
GGGUUUGUGGCUCAAUAGUAGAGCGCUUGCCUAGCAUGCAUGAGGCACUGGGUUCAAUCCUCAGCACCACCA